GGACCCGUUUGGACCUGCGCUGAGGAGGCCUCUGCAGGAGCAGACAGACAGGAUCCGCUGCGGACCCGUCUAAAGGAGUAUGGUCUGG